CGAUGGUUCAUUCAAAUUUCUGCCCUAUCAACUUUCGAUGGUAGGAUAGUGGCCUACCAUGGUGUUUAACGGGUAACGGGGAAUUAGGGUUCUAUUCCGGAGAGGGAGCCUGAGAAACGGCUACCACAUCCAAGGAAGGCAGCAGGCGCCGGCAAAUUACCCAAUCCCGACACGGGGAGGUAGUGACAAUAAAUACUGAUGCAGAGUUCUUUAGGGUUUUGCAAUUGGGAAUGAGUACAAUUUAAAUCCCUUCAA
rnacentral:rRNA from 1 species